rnacentral:rRNA from 1 species
AGGACGAACGCUGGCGGCGUGCUUAACACAUGCAAGUCGAACGAUGAUCCAGAGCUUGCUCUGGUGAUUAGUGGCGAACGGGUGAGUAACACGUGAGUAACCUGCCCUUGACUCUGGGAUAAGCGUUGGAAACGACGUCUAAUACCGGAUACGACCAGCCCCGGCAUCGGGUGUUGGUGGAAAGAAUUUUGGUCAAGGAUGGACUCGCGGCCUAUCAGGUAGUUGGUGAGGUAAUGGCUCACCAAGCCUACGACGGGUAGCCGGCCUGAGAGGGUGACCGGCCACACUGGGACUGAGACACGGCCCAGACUCCUACGGGAGGCAGCAGUGGGGAAUAUUGCACAAUGGGCGAAAGCCUGAUGCAGCAACGCCGCGUGAGGGACGACGGCCUUCGGGUGUAAACCUCUUUAGCAGGAAGAAGUGAAAGUGACGGUACCUGCAGAAAAGCACCGCUAACUACGUGCCAGCAGCCGC